AAAGGCAUUAAAUAUCAAAACGCUCGCAUUGCAUCAGCGCACAAAACCGCACGAUCCGAUUACAAAAAUGGGGCGGUUUUUCGCCCUCGUAACGAAGUGGAAUUAUUACAAACACAAUUAUGUAAUUCGAGAUAUUUAUACAACGUAACAUGUGGUUAAACACUUGGACAUUACUUUCUAAGAAGUGUUUAUUGUUUUAAGUUGUGUGUGUCGAUAAACAGACUUGUAAACGUGGCGAAAGAGAGGAAAAAAAGGAAAAGUGAUAAUCUCGUCGAAGCGGUGCAACUUUCCAAUUAUUACAAUAAUUCAGAGCGCUGCGGUGGACAAAAAAUAUAGUCAUUAAAAGGCAAUCAAGAGAGACAAGACGAGACGUUUAAGGAAAACUGGGCUUUUUUCUCCUCCAUCAGCCAGGAAUUUAGAAAGGAAUCACCCGAUAAUUGCGCACUUUUGCCAACCCACCGCUCAUAAUAAUUACACAAGUGUUUUACCCGCGAAUUAGCCGAGUGAAACCGAUUCUCUCGCUUAAAAAUCAUUAAUCGAAUUCGAUUGUUCGAAAGUUGAGCUUGCUUAUACAGUUAGAAAAGACUCGUUGAAUGAGAUCGCACCCAUCAAUGGGCAAAAGCAGUAGCAGAUGUUGGUCGAAGACGACGACAACGACGACAAUCGGAUGCGAAACGCGACGAGAAUAAUUCAUGAUUUUGGGUCCGUUGGACGGGAACGGGAAUAAAGUACGUGUUCGGGUUUUCUGAAAACGUUUUUAGACCAAUGGCGUCGCACCAAACACAGAGAGGAUGUCCUAAUUAAACGUCGAAGGCCGUCAUCGCGCCGGCAAGAACAAAGAGAUAUGUCGUGACGAUACGCCCAAAACUUGUCUUUAUUUUUCAAUAAGGAACCCAUCGAUUUCUCGUUGGCAAUUUUAAUUGGAGAGCUGCUUCAAUUUUUGAAAAAUUGAAACGCAUUGAAUGGUAAUUUUUGACGCUCGACUGGAGAAUCAUUUUAUCGGAUGUGUCCCAUUUGGUGCAGCUGGAUGGAACCCGUUUCUUUGUUACGUCCCUUCUUUUCACCAGCUCGAUGAUCACAAUCGGUACCAAAAAUGUAACACCGUGUGGGCACGGAAAAUUUUAAACAUUUUUUUCAUUUUUGAGUUGUUGACAAAUACCAACAAUAAAUUUCUAAUUCAUU